GUUAGCCUAUGAUGAGCUGCAGAAUAAGUUGCCGACAUUGUUUGAGUAAAGGAAUAUGAUAUUAUCUGCAAAAGUUCUGAGGCUAUC
rnacentral:snoRNA from 1 species